rnacentral:rRNA from 1 species
GACGAACGCUGGCGGCGUGCCUAAUACAUGCAAGUCGAGCGAGCUUGCCUAGAUGAUUUUAGUGCUUGCACUAAACGAAACUAGAUACAAGCGAGCGGCGGACGGGUGAGUAACACGUGGGGUAACCUGCCCAAGAGACUGGGAUAACACCUGGAAACAGAUGCUAAUACCGGAUAACAACACUAGACGCAUGUCUAGAGUUUGAAAGAUGGUUCUGCUAUCACUCUUGGGUGGACCUGCGGUGCAUUAGCUAGUUGGUAAGGUACGGCUUACCAAGGCAAUGAUGCAUAGCCGAGUUGAGAGACUGAUCGGCCACAUUGGGACUGAGACACGGCCCAAACUCCUACGGGAGGCAGCAGUAGGAUCUCACAAUGG